ACUAGGGAUCUUUGAAGGAAAAGUCACAGGAAACUGAAUUAAUAUGGACUCAGACAUCAAUAUUUGACUUAAAAAGAAUUUAUUAAUGAAAAGGUGUGGGAAAAAAAACCACAAGGACUAAAUGACUCAAAAGACUUAAAUCAAAAAACUAAAACCCGAAACCCCAAACCAACACAGUGUGUAUAAGUGGCCUUUCAAGUACACUCCAACAAGAAGCCUGUCAAUCAAGAUAACAAAAGUAAAGAAUAAUUAUAAUAAGAAAUAGGAUCUGGUAAAUAUUCAUGACACAUUAAACAAGUUCUUUCAUACCAUAGACCUGAAGGAGAAAAUACAAUGGACUGCCAACUCCAGCGGGCGCACGUCGAUCUUGCGUCAACCGGAAGUGCCGAAGUUACCGGCACAGACAACUUCCGUUUUGCUGUCGUUAGUAUACAUGAUCGUGCUGCGUGCAUGAGGUGUUGAUAUUUCCUCCUCAAAAUGGCAUAAAUUUCCAGGUAAUGAUUGUGCAGUUGCUGAAAGCAGCGCCUAAAGACAAAAAUAGGUGGGUUGAGUUUCUAUGGUAUACCGAAGAGGCCAGAUCCAGCCCAAAAACAGCAAAAAGACGAGGCAGAACGGAAUGCGAACGACAAGAAUGGAGGCAACACUAUGUCGGCCUAGUUAGGAAUCGUCAAGAUCUGAAGAUAACAUUGUUUUAUAGUAGGCAUGAUAGGUGCCAACUUAGCCUACCCACUGAAUUUCUGUCCACAUCAUAAGUUAAUCCUGGUCCUGGUUGUGCCAGCAUCACUUACACCAUCCCCUAACUUGGUGGCUCACAUGGACUUGAACAAUGUGCGAAGGGAUGCCACAAUGUUGAGGACACAACAGCUACUGACAGCAGACUGCAAGGAGUACAGUGAUUGAUCUUUUCAGCACUUGCAACACCCAUAAGGAGCAUAAAACUUUAGCAGGCCACAUGCUUCAACCGUACAUGCAGGAUGUUCUGUGCUUGAUCCCAGCCUUGCACACUGUGGAUCUUUUCCUCAGGGAAGCAAUAUUUAGUGUUAAUAAAGUUAUGUUACAGGAAAGAAAUCACAAGCUUACUUUAUAUUGCAAUUUCCUCAUUCAUUUCAUCUUACCUCCUUGAAAACUGAAGUAGUUGAUUUCAAAGAAUGGAGAUUUUAGGAGGCGUUCUUUAAUCACUAAUGUUAAUGCCAGAGUCCACAGGUCAAGUAUCAUGAUGACUAGUGCACAUUACACAUUUCAUCUGUGUCACAUAAUGUUGUACAUGAGUACCUGCAGAAUCUCUAAGAACUCUGCUCUAUUCCAUAUCUUUGGGGAUACCACUGCCCGCACUUACGCCACCUACAUAAAAGCCUGUCGUGAAUAUGGACAAAUUCAACUAAUAAAGAAAGGCGUCUUACAGGAUGUUUCAAUGAAACCUCAAUUUUAUUUGAUAAAAUUGAUAGAGACAACUUUGAAACUAUUACAUGAUAAAUGAGGUGCUUGAAAAAAAUAUA